rnacentral:rRNA from 1 species
UUUAAAGAGAGUUUGAUCCUGGCUCAGGACGAACGCUGGCGGCGUGCCUAAUACAUGCAAGUCGAACGAACGGAGGAAGAGCUUGCUCUUCCAAAGUUAGUGGCGGACGGGUGAGUAACACGUGGGCAACCUGCCUGUAAGUUGGGGAUAACUCCGGGAAACCGGGGCUAAUACCGAAUGAUAGAAUGUGGCGCAUGCCA